rnacentral:rRNA from 1 species
UACGUAGGGUGCGAGCGUUGCCCGGAUUUAUUGGGCGUAAAGGGCGCGUAGGCGGCUCGGCACGUCCGUUGUGAAAUCGCCCGGCUCAACUGGGCGGGGUCAGCGGAUACGGUCGAGCUUGAGCAAGCUAGGGGGCAAUGGAAUUCCCGGUGUAGUGGUGGAAUGCGUAGAUAUCGGGAGGAACACCAGUGGCGAAGGCGGUUGCCUGGAGCUUUGCUGACGCUGGAGGCGACGAAGCGGUGGGGAGCGAUCCGGG